rnacentral:rRNA from 1 species
GACAGAGGGGGCAAGCGUUGCUCGGAAUCACUGGGCGUAAAGGGCGCGUAGGCGGGAUGUCAAGUCAGUCGUGAAAUCUCUCGGCUCAACCGAGAAACGUCGGCUGAUACUGCCGUUCUUGAGGGAUGCAGAGGAGACUGGAAUUCCCGGUGUAGCGGUGAAAUGUGUAGAGAUCGGGAGGAACACCGGUGGCGAAGGCGGGUCUCUGGGCAUUUCCUGACGCUGAGGCGCGAAAGCGUGGGGAGCAAACGGG